rnacentral:rRNA from 1 species
GAUGAACGCUGGCGGCGUGCCUAAUACAUGCAAGUCGAACGAGGUGCUUUUUGUAGCAAUACGAGGAGUAUCCUAGUGGCGAACGGGUGAGUAACGCGUGGGUGACCUACCCCAAAGUGUGGAAUAACAGUCCGAAAGGAUUGCUAAUGCCGCAUGUGGUCUGCGAGUUUAGAAAUCGUUGACUAAAGGAGCAAUUCGCUUUGGGAGGGACCUGCGUCCCAUCAGCUAGUUGGUGAGGUAACGGCUCACCAAGGCUACGACGGGUAGGGGACCUGAGAGGGUGGCCCCCCACAAUGGAACUGAAACACGGUCCAUACACCUACGGGUGGCAGCAGUAGGGAAUAUUGCACAAUGGGCGAAAGCCUGAUGCAGCAACGCCGCGUGCGCGAUGAAGGUCUUCGGAUCGUAAAGCGCUUUUCUGAGAGAUGAGAAAGGACAGUAUCUCAGGAAUAAGUCUCGGCUAACUACGUGCCAGCAGCCGCGGUAAAGUCUAG